rnacentral:rRNA from 1 species
GCAAGCCGGUGCCAGCAGGCGAUGUAAGACGUAUGUAGCAAGCGUUAGCCGGAAGUAUUGGGCUUAAAGGGCAUCUAGGAGGUUAAUCAAGUCGAAGGUGAAAACUUGUGGCUCAACCAUAAGCUUGCCGACGAAACUGAUUAACUAGAGUACUGGAGAGGUGGACGGAACUACACGAGUAGAGGUGAAAUUCGGAGAUAUGUGGAGGAAUACCGAUGGCGAAGGCAGCCCCCUGGGAUAAUACUGACGCUCAGACACGAAAGCGUGGGGAGCAAACAGGAUUAGAUACCCGAGUAGUC